ACGUGUCUGGUGUGUUUCUGAGAGAGCCUCCUGUUUUCAGUUUCCAUCCCUGUUCCUAUAGCUGUGUUCCAGUUUUACCACAUUACUUUGCUACUCCUAAUUACCAAGUUGUGUUCUGCUUCAUCCUUUUCAUCCAGUUGCCCUGUGUAGGAAGCAUUUAUACCCUCCUUCUUCACUUUGUUUUUAAAAUCCGGUCCUAUUUUUGCAGCAUUUCUUGAGUUUCCCAGGUGGAAGUGACAGUUCUCUUAUCUUGACCUUACUAUCCUUUAUUCACUUCAAUUAUAAAAGUAGUGAAUUUUGUAUUUCUGUUUUUUGUGUUUUUUUUUUUUUACAUUUCCAUCAUCCAUUAAAUGUAGUGCAGAAUCUGCCUUUGUUUAUAUGUUCAGCUUUUCCCAGAAUAUUGCCCAUGAUUUGAUAGACUCUAAAUACAUAUUUUCUAACUGACUGAGUGGGUGAAUGAAUGAAUAAAUACAAUGUGUUCUGAAGUUGGGAAUUUUUUUAAUAGGAGGGAACAGCAAAUCCAUCAACUACAAAAAAGGAAAAUGGUAUUGGUAUUAUUGAAAAUGCUCUUCAAGUGCAAAACACUAGUGGCAGUUUUACUGCUGUGUGUCAUCAUAACAGAAGUGAUAUGAUGUCUGCAUUAGUAUCUGGAGAAAACGAAGUUGUAGAAGUACCUUUGGAUUCGUCUUGUGAGAGUAUUUCCAAGAAUCCUCUACAGAAGCAUGUUGUUCCUUCAUCUGGGACUGUAGAUAAAAAAGGAAGAAAUACAGUAAAUGGACAAAUAGAAGGUAAGAACCAUAUUCGUAAAAAAAAAAAAAAAAGUCAUUUGGAGAAUAUUUAUUUUAAAACAUGAGCAGUGACAUAUUCUAACAGGCAAAGAAAAUCACCUAUUAGGAUACAUAAUAAGGAAAGGAGAAGUGAAAUGGUGAUACAUUGCAGAUCUUAUCAGGUGCCAGCAACAGAUGAAAUUGAGAAUGUCAGUGACAGAGCUGAAUUAGUAAUUCCCUUUCAAGAUGGUCUAAGACCUGAGGGAAGUCAGUAAAUAAGGAGGAGGCAAGGAGUCAAAGAGGGAAUGAAGAAUGAGGAAAGCAGAGAGUACAGGGAGUACGUGAAGGAAGGAGAAGCAGGGGGAUGUAAAAAAAGGUG
rnacentral:lncRNA from 1 species